CCUACGGGAGGCAGCAGUGAGGAAUAUUGGUCAAUGGCCGAGAGGCUGAACCAGCCAAGUCGCGUGAGGGAAGACGGCCCUACGGGUUGUAAACCUCUUUUGACGGGGAGAAAAUAGAACUACGUGUGGAUCAGUGAGAGUACCCGAAGAAAAAGCAUAGGCUAACUCCGUGACAGCAGCGGCGGUAAUACGGAGGAUGCGAGCGUUAACCGGAUUUAUUGGGGUAAAAGGGUGCGCAGGGGGUUGUGCAAGUUAGCGGUAAAAUUUCGGGGCUUAACCCCGUACUGCCAUUAAGACUGCAUCCCUUGAGUGCACGAGAGGUAUGCGGAAUGCGUGGUGUAGCGGUGAAAUGCUUAGAUAUAACGCAGAACUCCGAUUGCGAAGGCAGCUAACCGGCCCGCAACUGACGCUGAUGCACGAAAGCAUGGGUAUCGAACAGGAUUAGAUACCCUUGUAGUC
rnacentral:rRNA from 1 species